GUGCAGAACAUUCUGCUGCUCUUAAAGACCCUCAUCCCUCCCGUGGGAGCCCCCUUUGGACACUCUAUGACCCUGGACCCUCGGGGGACCUGAACUUGAUGCGAUGGGAGGCUGUGCAGGCUCGCGGCGGCGCUUUUCGGAUUCCGAGGGGGAGGAGACCGUCCCGGAGCCCCGGCUCCCUCUGUUGGACCAUCAGGGCGCGCAUUGGAAGAACGCGGUGGGCUUCUGGCUGCUGGGCCUUUGCAACAACUUCUCUUAUGUGGUGAUGCUGAGUGCUGCCCACGACAUCCUUAGCCACAAGAGGACAUCGGGAAACCAGAGCCAUGUGGACCCAGGCCCAACGCCGAUGCCCCACAACAGCUCAUCACGAUUUGACUGCAACUCUGUCUCUACGGCUGCUGUGCUCCUGGCGGACAUCCUCCCCACACUCGUCAUCAAAUUGUUGGCUCCUCUUGGCCUUCACCUGCUGCCCUACAGCCCCCGGGUUCUCGUCAGUGGGAUUUGUGCUGCUGGAAGCUUCGUCCUGGUUGCCUUUUCUCAUUCUGUGGGGACCAGCCUGUGUGGUGUGGUCUUCGCUAGCAUCUCAUCAGGCCUUGGGGAGGUCACCUUCCUCUCCCUCACUGCCUUCUACCCCAGGGCCGUGAUCUCCUGGUGGUCCUCAGGGACUGGGGGAGCUGGGCUGCUGGGGGCCCUGUCCUACCUGGGCCUCACCCAGGCCGGCCUCUCCCCUCAGCAGACCCUGCUGUCCAUGCUGGGUAUCCCUGCCCUGCUGCUGGCCAGCUAUUUCUUGUUGCUCACAUCUCCUGAGGCCCAGGACCCUGGAGGGGAAGAAGAGGCAGAGAGCGCAGCCCGGCAGCCCCUCAUAAGAACCGAGGCCCCGGAGUCGAAGCCAGGCUCCAGCUCCAGCCUCUCCCUUCGGGAAAGGUGGACAGUGUUCAAGGUUCGGAUGAUGGCUGGGGUAUGUCCCUGUGGGGCUUGCUCACCUCCAGGCCCCCCGCUUAUAUCUUCUGCCUUUUCCAGGGUCUGCUGUGGUACAUUGUUCCCUUGGUCGUAGUUUACUUUGCCGAGUAUUUCAUUAACCAGGGACUUUUUGAACUCCUCUUUUUCCGGAACACUUCCCUGAGUCACGCUCAGCAAUACCGCUGGUAAGAGGAGCGAGGGCAGUGGGCUGGGAGGGCGCCGUGGUGAUGCAGCUGCCCUGCCCAGUAGGCACCGGGGGGAGCGGGAUGGUCCCUGGAGGAGCCUCCUCUCCUACCCUCAACCCUAACCUCAGGUACCAGAUGCUGUACCAGGCUGGCGUCUUUGCCUCCCGCUCUUCUCUCCGCUGCUGUCGCAUCCGUUUCACCUGGGCCCUGGCCCUGCUGCAG
rnacentral:sRNA from 1 species